ACGAAGUCAUUGAUGCCAUGCUUCCGGGAAAAGCUUCUAAGCUUCAGAUUAUAAGAAAUCGUACCCCAAACCGACACAGGUGAUCAGGUAGAGAAUACCAAGGCGCUUGAGAGAACUCGGGUGAAGGAACUAGGCAAAAUGGUACCGUAACUUCGGGAGAAGGUACGCUCCUAGCGGUGAUGAGACUUGCUCUCUAAGCUGCCGGGAGUCGCAGAUACCAGGUGGCUGCAACUGUUUAUUAAAAACACAGCACUGUGCAAAAUCGAAAGAUGACGUAUACGGUGUGACGCCUGCCCGGUGCCGGAAGGUUAAUUGAUGGGGUUAGACUUCGGUCGAAGCUCUUGAUCGAAGCCCCGGUAAACGGCGGCCGUAACUAUAACGGUCCUAAGGUAGCGAAAUUCCUUGUCGGGUAAGUUCCGACCUGCACGAAUGGCGUAAUGAUGGCCACGCUGUCUCCACCCGAGACUCAGUGAAAUUGAAAUCGCAGUGAAGAUGCUGCGUCCCCGCGGCUAGACGGAAAGACCCCGUGAACCUUUACUAUAGCUUGGCACUGAACAUUGACCCUACAUGUGUAGGAUAGGUGGGAGACGUUGAAGCAACCGCGCCAGUGGUUGUGGAGUCAAUCUUGAAAUACCACCCUUGUAUGCUUGAUGUUCUAACGUUGGCCCCUUAUCGGGGUUACGGACAGUGCCUGGUGGGUAGUUUGACUGGGGCGGUCUCCUCCCAAAGAGUAACGGAGGAGCACGAAGGUGGGCUAAUCACGGUCGGACAUCGUGAGGUUAGUGCAAUGGCAUAAGCCCGCUUGACUGCGAGAAUGACAAUUCGAGCAGGUGCGAAAGCAGGUCAUAGUGAUCCGGUGGUUCUGAAUGGAAGGGCCAUCGCUCAACGGAUAAAAGGUACUCCGGGGAUAACAGGCUGAUACCGCCCAAGAGUUCAUAUCGACGGCGGUGUUUGGCACCUCGAUGUCGGCUCAUCACAUCCUGGGGCUGAAGUCGGUCCCAAGGGUAUGGCUGUUCGCCAUUUAAAGUGGUACGCGAGCUGGGUUUAGAACGUCGUGAGACAGUUCGGUCCCUAUCUGCCGUGGGCGUUGGAUGAUUGAGAGGGGCUGCUCCUAGUACGAGAGGACCGGAGUGGACGAACCGCUGGUGUUCGGGUUGUGUCGCCAGACGCAUUGCCCGGUAGCUAAGUUCGGAAUCGAUAACCGCUGAAAGCAUCUAAGCGGGAAGCGAGCCUCAAGAUGAGUCAUCCCUAGACCUUUAAGGUCUCUAAAGGGUUGUUGAAGACUACAACGUUGAUAGGUCGGGUGUGUAAGUGCUG
rnacentral:rRNA from 2 species